GAGGGUCGCUCUGACCCGGCCCAAUGACACAAACCGAAGGCUAUGACUCCGUCGUGAGACGGGGCAAGAGCCGGUUCCCCUAUGGGGAACCUUCCCGCUUUAGCGGGAAGAGGAGGUCAGGUUACCCCCGUUA
rnacentral:sRNA from 1 species